rnacentral:rRNA from 1 species
CGGGGUGGAGUAAUGUCUGGGAAACGUGCCUGAUGGAGGGGGAUAACUACUGGAAACGGUAGCUAAUACCGCAUAAUGUCGCAAGACCAAAGUGGGGGACCUUCGGGCCUCUUGCCAUCGGAUGUGCCCAGAUGGGAUUAGCUAGUAGGUGGGGUAACGGCUCACCUAGGCGACGAUCCCUAGCUGGUCUGAGAGGAUGACCAGCCACACUGGAACUGAGACACGGUCCAG